rnacentral:rRNA from 1 species
AUGUCAAGCAGCAGCAGCAGCAGGUUCUGCAGCUUCGACGACCCUGGUGAGUUCACGGUCGUGCUCAACUCCCGCCAGCAAGGCGCGAAGGAGUUUCCCCUUGAACCCCAUGACCUGAUUCUCAGGAUGGAAGUACACUUUACUUCAAAGGAUUGCACACAUAUGAAGCGGUUAUUGAUGAAGUCAUGGAAAAGGGACUUGCCAAUGCUACACAGUCAUGAAAUCUUUGUCUGUUUCACUCUUCUUCCAUACAUGAUAUACAAGGUUCUUGGGAUGCUCAGUACUGUUGCUAGGAGUGCUGAAGCACAAAAUACAAGGGGGUGCAUGAGGAGGCGAGAGCUGACGGCAACCAUUGGAGGAGGUCUGGUCGGUCGAAGAGAAAUAGCUGAGCUCCCAGCCUCCUUAGACUGGCAUGGGCACAUCAAUAAGGGCAUGGAGCCCAUCAAAGAGGAGGUGUUCUUUGACCUCGAGAAUGGCAACCAGGAGCUCAAGAGCGACGUCAAGGACCUCUACAUCAACCUCGGGCAAGCAUGGAAGAGAGGAGGGAGAGCCGAGGAGCGUGGUGGCCUCUGGCUGUUGCCCGGGAAAAGGUAA